rnacentral:rRNA from 1 species
CCUACGGGUGGCAGCAGUGAGGAAUAUUGGUCAAUGGGCGUAAGCCUGAACCAGCCAAGUCGCGUGAGGGAUGAAGGUUCUGUGGAUCGUAAACCUCUUUUAUCAGGGAAUAAAGUGUGGGACGUGUCCUAUGUUGUAUGUACCUUAUGAAUAAGGAUCGGCUAACUCCGUGCCAGCAGCCGCGGUAAUACGGAGGAUCCGAGCGUUAUCCGGAUUUAUUGGGUUUAAAGGGUGCGUAGGCGGCCUUUUAAGUCAGCGGUGAAAGUCUGUGGCUCAACCAUGGAAUCGCCGUUGAAACUGGGGGGCUUGAGUAGGUUUGAGGCAGGCGGAAUGCGUGGUGUAGCGGUGAAAUGCUUAGAUAUCACGCAGAACCCCGAUUGCGAAGGCAGCCUGCCAAGCCAUGACUGACGCUGAUGCACGAAAGCGUGGGGAUCGAACAGGAUUAGAUACCCGAGUAGUC